ACCGGAGGAAGGUGGGGAUGACGUCAAAUCAUCAUGCCCCUUAUGACCUGGGCUACACACGUGCUACAAUGGAUAGAACAAAGGGCAGCGAAGCCGCGAGGUGAAGCCAAUCCCAUAAAUCUAUUCUCAGUUCGGAUUGCAGGCUGCAACUCGCCUGCAUGAAGCCGGAAUCGCUAGUAAUCGCGGAUCAGCAUGCCGCGGUGAAUACGUUCCCGGGCCUUGUACACACCGCCCGUCACACCACGAGAGUUUGUAACACCCGAAGUCGGUGGGGUAACCUUUUGGAGCCAGCCGCCUAAGGUGGGACAGAUGAUUGGGGUGAAGUCGUAACAAGGUAGCCGUAUCGGAAGGUGCGGCUGGAUCACCUCCUUUCUAAGGA
rnacentral:rRNA from 2 species